AGCCCCUAAUCCUCAGCUGGGAUCGUUCACCAGCCCGUUGAAGCUCUUCAAAUACCUUUGAAACUGCAUCGAUUCUUUCUGACCGCAAAAUUAUGGUAACCAUUGAAGUCCAGUCUGUGGAAAAAAAAUCCCAAAAUGUUUUCCUACAAAAACGUACUUUCUCUUUCACUGAGGAAAGAAAGUCAUGGAUAUCUUGAAUGGCAUUGGGAUUAGCCUGUUGGCAAUGAAAGGUGGGACAGACACCAGAGAUGGAGUUUGGAGAAUUAUGACUGCAACAAUCACAAACUCCCUGGCCAAGAAUAUAAAUAUGCGUGGUGUUAAUGGGAAGAUCAGCUUUAAAAGCUUGCAGUUACGAAACAUUGUUCUUGCUGCUUUGAGAAAAAAUUGCCUCACACAGCAUGCCACUGAGCAAGAGGUAGAAUCAACUGU